UACGGAGGAUGCAGGCGUUAUCCGGAAUGAUUGGGCGUAAAGCGUCCGCAGGUGGCAAUGUAAGUCUGCUGUUAAAGAGUCUAGCUCAACUAGAUAAAAGCAGUGGAAACUACAUAGCUAGAGUACGUUCGGGGCAGAGGGAAUUCCUGGUGUAGCGGUGAAAUGCGUAGAGAUCAGGAAGAACACCAGUGGCGAAGGCGCUCUGCUAGGCCGUAACUGACACUGAGGGACGAAAAGCUAGGGGAGCGAAUGGG
rnacentral:rRNA from 1 species